CGGAUAAGCCCUUACGGGGAAAGAUUUAUCGCCGAAAGAUUGGCUCGCGUUUGAUUAGCUAGUUGGUGAGGUAACGGCUCACCAAGGCGACGAUCAGUAGCUGGUCUGAGAGGAUGAUCAGCCACAUUGGGACUGAGACACGGCCCAAACUCCUACGGGAGGCAGCAGUGGGGAAUAUUGGACAAUGGGCGCAAGCCUGAUCCAGCCAUGCCGCGUGAGUGAUGAAGGCCCUAGGGUUGUAAAGCUCUUUUGUGCGGGAAGAUAUGACGGUACCGCAAGAAUAAGCCCCGGCUAACUUCGUGCCAGCAGCCGCGGUAAUACGAAGGGGGCUAGCGUUGCUCGGAAUCACUGGGCGUAAAGGGUGCGUAGGCGGGUCUUUAAGUCAGGGGUGAAAUCCUGGAGCUCAACUCCAGAACUGCCUUUGAUACUGAGGAUCUUGAGUACGGGAGAGGUGAGUGGAACUGCGAGUGUAGAGGUGAAAUUCGUAGAUAUUCGCAAGAACACCAGUGGCGAAGGCGGCUCACUGGCCCGUUACUGACGCUGAGGCACGAAAG
rnacentral:rRNA from 1 species